rfam:Triticum aestivum genome assembly, contig: Triticum_aestivum_CS42_TGACv1_scaffold_377389_5AL
GUAGUACUUCCUCCGUUCGAAAUUACUUGUCGCAGAAAUGGAUGUAUGUAUCUAGAACUACUUUUAGAUACAUCCAUUUCCGCGACAAGUAAUUCCGAACGGAGGGAGUAUGUA